GGCGGCUCAGCCUGGAAUCCCAGCACUUUGGGAGGCCGAGGUGGGCGGAUCACCUGACGUCAGGAGUUUGAGACCAGCCUGGCCAACAUGCAGAAAUCCCGUCUCUACAAAACAUACAAAAAUUAGCCGGGCGUGAUGGCGCGCGCCUGUGAUCCCAGCUACUCGGGAGGCUGAGGCACAAGGAUCGCUUUGAGCGCAGGGGUCAAGGCUGCAGAGACAAGGCUGUGAUUGCUCCACUGCAUGCCAGCCUGGGUGAUGGGGAGAACCAGGUGCAUCAGCGCAUUGCGGAGCUGAGGAAAGCAGGUCUGUGGUCCCAGAGGCGUCUGCUGAAGCUGCAGGAGGCCCCACGGCCCAAGUCCCACUGGGACUGUCUGCUGGAGGAGAUGCAGUGGAUGGCCACAGACUUUGCCCAGGAGAGGUGGAAGGUGGCCUCUGUGAAGAAGAUGGUCAGAGCUGUGGCCCGGCAGCUGCAGGACAGGACGCGCAGGGAGGCCGGGGCCAGGAGGGAGGAGCCGAGCAGGCUGAAGCAGACGUCACCUGUACUACCAGAGAAAUCGAGCGUCCCUGGUCUAGUACUGCGCAGGUAAAGAUUCCAGCAUCUUUGAAGCAAGUGCUCCACUGGAAAAUAAAAGCGACGUGACUCGAGUUUCCACCUCCCACCUGCAAGGCCCAAGACUGAUGUCAGCGCUGACGUACCAGAUGGCCCAGGUUGCUGUGGCCACGCCUCCUGUGGUGUCUGUCCUGGCAGUUGUGGUGCUGUCAGCCAGGGUCACAGUGCUUCCAUCAACGCAACGGGAUCAGUGUUGUGAUAAGGCAGCUGCAAAAAGCGGCAGGUAGGCAGCC
rnacentral:lncRNA from 1 species